UGGGGAAUUUUGGACAAUGGGGGAAACCCUGAUCCAGCCAUCCCGCGUGUGCGAUGAAGGCCUUCGGGUUGUAAAGCACUUUUGGCAGGAAAGAAACGUCGCGGGUUAAUACCCCGCGGAACUGACGGUACCUGCAGAAUAAGCACCGGCUAACUACGUGCCAGCAGCCGCGGUAAUACGUAGGGUGCAAGCGUUAAUCGGAAUUACUGGGCGUAAAGCGUGCGCAGGCGGUUCGGAAAGAAAGAUGUGAAAUCCCAGAGCUUAACUUUGGAACUGCAUUUUUAACUACCGGGCUAGAGUGUGUCAGAGGGAGGUGGAAUUCCGCGUGUAGCAGUGAAAUGCGUAGAUAUGCGGAGGAACACCGAUGGCGAAGGCAGCCUCCUGGGAUAACACUGACGCUCAUGCACGAAAGCGUGGGGAGCAAACAGGAUUAGAUACCCUGGUAGUCCACGCCCUAAACGAUGUCAACUAGCUGUUGGGGUCUUCGGACCUCGGUAGCGCAGCUAACGCGUGAAGUUGACCGCCUGGGGAGUACGGUCGCAAGAUUAAAACUCAAAUGAAUUGACGGGGUCAUAGCU
rnacentral:rRNA from 1 species